GUUUAGAGCUGAAAUCACUUAAAUGAGACAAGAAGAUGAUCCAGCUCAUCAUCAUAACAUCUGUGCUCGCUGCAUGCCAUCACACUGUAUAAAACACCUGAUUCUACAAAUGAAGGCUGUGAUGAAAGAGUGAGCAGAUUACUAAAAACUGACUGUGUCGCAUUUUCUCUGUUUCACAUCCAAACUGCUUUAAAAACAAACAUAUUGAGUUAGAUUUUUCUUUAAUCACUGCAUCUACUAUCUCAUACUCAUGUCUAAUUUUAGAAGGAGCAUCCAACAUAUAGGAGGGCCCCCAUUGGUACCCUCAUCCUAAAAGCCUCCAAAGAGGUCCAGGUCAUCGGUCUCCAGCGGGCAGGUUGCGGAUCCCAGAGGAGGUGGAUGCCUCAGAGGCCUCUCACUACAACCACAUCCAGCUCCUACCACGUCGUCACAGGAGGAGCUGCUGGUGGUCUCACAGGGCCUGGAUCAGCUUGCGGAGGUGCCAUCUCCUGCUGCUACUCCUCACAAAGCUCCCCCUCAAUCUUUGGCUCCUCCAUCAUAACCGAGCAGUUACUGGCCUUGUCCAACCUGAGCCCUGGUUUCCACUGCCAGACCAGAUGAGGUGAGCCAAAGGUGUUUAGUCUUCACAUGGGUUUGAUCAAGCCUGCUGCGUACACAGAGAACUGAUUGGGGUGGAGGAGCUGUAGCAGCAGCAGGCAUCAAGCUCAAGGAUGUCAGCCGACACGCUGGACGAGGGGACCGAGCCACCGUCAUCGCCUCUGAUGCUUCCCCCCCUUCUGAUGCCGACGGUGGGUCAGCUGGAACGGGCAGAGAUGACCCGAUGCUGCCGUCUACAUUGGCUUACUCUAACUCCGCUCACCCACCCCUGUUGCUUGUCACGUGUUUUCAUGGUGUUAUGGUGUGAAGAUUCAUGUGCUUUUGUGCUGAGGAGUUUUUGUUUUCUGUUCUCAUACUGAUCCCCAAUCAGGAGCUCAGUCUGAGUAGAGUUCUCUUUUUUUUUUCUCCUCCACUGCACUUUUGUGUUGUACAUUUCAUUCUUUUUCUUUACACUACCUGUUCUGACCUGUCUCCCCAAUGUGAAGUCUGUGUAAUGUAUGUAUGGUUGGAAGAGGUCAAAUUUUGCUGCAGACAACUGCAAGUGACAAAUAAAGGCUUCAUCAAAUCAAAUUAAAUCAUCGACAUGGAUAUCACCAGCACAGUGACGUGUCUCCAGACUCCUUUUUAAAAAAAAGAAAGAACUACUUGGCAUCUUUGU